GCUCCUGUACGAUCACUGAAGUUAAGCAAUAUCAAGCCUGGUCAGUACCUAGAUGGGUGACCACUUGGAAAUACCAGGGGCUGUAA